rnacentral:rRNA from 1 species
CCUACGGGGGGCUGCAGUGAGGAAUAUUGGGCAAUGGGCGCAAGCCUGACCCAGCAAUGCCGCGUGCAGGAUGAAGGCGCUAUGCGUCGUAAACUGCUUUUGUUCGGGAAGAAACCCAUCUACGUGUAGGUGGUUGACGGUACCGAAAGAAUAAGCAUCGGCUAACUCCGUGCCAGCAGCCGCGGUAAUACGGAGGAUGCGAGUGUUAUCCGGAUUCAUUGGGUUUAAAGGGUGCGUAGGCGGAAUAUUAAGUCAGCGAUGAAAUCCUGCAGCUUAACUGUAGAACUGUCAUUGAUACUGGUAUUCUUGAAUUCAGUUGAGGUAGGCGGAAUGUGUAAUGUAGCGGUGAAAUGCUUAGAUAUUACACAGAACACCGAUUGUGAAGGCAGCUUACUAAACUGUUAUUGACGCUGAGGCACGAAAGCGUGGGGAGCAAACAGGCUUAGAUACCCUGGUAGUC